GAUGAACGCUGGCGGCGUGCCUAAUACAUGCAAGUCGAGCGAACAGACGAGGAGCUUGCUCCUCUGACGUUAGCGGCGGAAGGGUGAGUAACACGUGGAUAACCUACCUAUAAGACUGGGAUAAAUUCGGGAAACCGGCGCUAAUACCGGAUAAUAUAUUGAACCGCAUGGUUCAAUAGUGAAUGACGGUUUUGCUGUCACUUAUAGAUGGAUCCGCGCCGCAUUAGCUAGUUGGUAAGGUAACGGCUCACCAAGGCAACGAUGCGUAGCCGACCUGAGAGGGUGAUCGGCCACACUGGAACGGAGACACGGUCCAGACUCCUACGGGAGGCAGCAGUAGAGUAUCUUCCGCAAUGGGCGAAAGCCUGACGUAGCAACGCCGCGUGAGUGAGGAAGGUCUUCGGAUCUUAAAACUCUGUUAUUUGGGAAGAACAAAUGUGUAAGUAACUAUGCACGUCUUGACGGUACCUAAGCAGAAAGCCACGGCUAACUACGUG
rnacentral:rRNA from 1 species